rnacentral:rRNA from 1 species
CUGACACAGGGAGGUAGUGACAAUAAAUAACAAUGCCGGGCCUUCUUAGGUCUGGCAAUUGGAAUGAGAACAAUUUAAACCCCUUAUCGAGUAUCAAUUGGAGGGCAAGUCUGGUGCCAGCAGCCGCGGUAAUUCCAGCUCCAAUAGCGUAUAUUAAAGUUGUUGCAGUUAAAAAGCUCGUAGUUGGAUUUGUGGUGUGUCCAGUCGGCCUUUGCUCUUUGAGUGAUUGUGCUGUACUGGUCUGCCAUGUUUGGGUGGAAUCUGUGUGGCAUUAAGUUGUCGUGCAGGGGAUGCCCAUCGUUUACUGUGAAAAAAUUGAGUGUUCAAAGCAGGCUUAUGCCGUUGAAUAUAUUAGCAUGGAAUAAUGAUAUAGGACCUUGGUACUAUUUUGUUGGUUUGCGCACUAAGGUAAUGAUUAAGAGGGACAGUUGGGGGUAUUUGUAUUCCAUUGUCAGAGGUGAAAUUCUUGGAUUUUUGGAAGACAAACUACUGCGAAAGCA